ACUAAAGCUAGCCCAAACAGUAAGCAAUCCACAAAACUAUUCUAACAAAUAUAAAACAAAACAUUUAUCCCUUAAAAGUAUAGGAGAUAGAAAUUAACUUCUGGCGCUAUAGAGAAAGUACCGUAAGGGAACGACUGAAAGAUAAAUUAAAAGUAUAAAACAGCAAAGAUUACCCCUUGUACCUUUUGCAUAAUGAUUUAACUAGAACAACCCCAGCAAAGAGCCCUGAAGCUGGUAACCCCGAAACCAGACGAGCUAUUCAUGAACAGCUGUAAGAGCAAAUUCAUCUAUGUGGCAAAAUAGUGAAGAGAUUUAUGAAUAGGGGUGAAAAGCCAACCGAGCCUGGUGAUAGCUGGUUGUCCAGAUAAGAAUUUUAGUUCAACUUUAAAUUUACUAUUCAGAAAUCUUAAUCAUCAUCCGUAAAUUUAAAUGUUAAUCCAAAGGGGUACAGCUCUUUGGAUCAGGAUACAACCUUUAUUAGAGAGUAAAUUAAUUUAAUAACCAUAGUUGGCCUAAAAGCAGCCACCAAUUAAGAAAGCGUUCAAGCUCAACAAUUCUAUUAUCCUCAAUGUAAUUAAUAUAACUCAACUCCUAACCUAACACUGGACUAAUCUAUAAUUUUAUAGAAGAAAUACUGUUAAUAUGAGUAACAAGAUUUAAAUCUCCUAGCACAAGCAUAUAUCAGAACAAAUACUAGCUGAUAGUUAACAGCCAAAUAAAUAAAUUCUAACAAUUAAAACUUUAUUCCAUCACUGUUAAUCCAACACAGGUGUGCAUUAAGGAAAGAUUAAAAGAAGUAAAAGGAACUCGGCAAACAUAAACCCCGCCUGUUUACCAAAAACAUCACCUCUAGCAUUAUUAGUAUUAGAGGCACUGCCUGCCCAGUGACAAUUGUUUAACGGCCGCGGUAUCCUGACCGUGCAAAGGUAGCAUAAUCAUUUGUUCCUUAAAUAGGGACUUGUAUGAAUGGCCACACGAGGGUUUAACUGUCUCUUACUUCCUAUCAGUGAAAUUGACCUUUCCGUGAAGAGGCGGAAAUAAACAAAUUAGACGAGAAGACCCUAUGGAGCUUCAAUUUAUCUACACCAACAGAAUAACUUUACAUCCAUCAAGGACUAACACUCAUUCUAACUGGUUAGAAAAUUUCGGUUGGGGUGACCUCGGAGUAUAAAUUAACCCCCGAGAAGAAUUACUAAGACUGACAAGUCAAAGUUUCAAAUAUUAAUUGAUCCAGUCUAACUGAUCAACGAAACAAGUUACCCUAGGGAUAACAGCGCAAUCCUAUUCUAGAGUCCUUAUCGACAAUAGGGUUUACGACCUCGAUGUUGGAUCAGGACAUCCUAAUGGUGCAGCAGCUAUUAAUGGUUCGUUUGUUCAACGAUUAAAGUCCUACGUGAUCUGAGUUCAGACCGGAGUAAUCCAGGUCGGUUUCUAUCUAUUUAACAUUUCUCCCAGUACGAAAGGACAAGAGAAAUGGGGCCAACUCCCUGCCGAGCGCCCUCAAGCCAAUAAAUGAUAUUAUCUCAAUUUAAUAAACUUAAUAUAUAUAUAUUAGCCUUAGACCAAGGUUUUUU
rnacentral:rRNA from 1 species